UUUAUGAAGAGUUUGAUCCUGGCUCAGGAUGAACGCUGGCGGCGUGCCUAAUACAUGCAAGUCGAGCGAACGGACGAGAAGCUUGCUUCUCUGAUGUUAGCGGCGGACGGGUGAGUAACACGUGGAUAACCUACCUAUAAGACUGGGAUAACUUCGGGAAACCGGAGCUAAUACCGGAU
rnacentral:rRNA from 1 species